UGAGUGGCGGACGGGUGAGUAACGCGUGGGCAACCUGCCCUGUACAGGGGGACAACACUUAGAAAUAGGUGCUAAUACCGCAUAACGGGGGGAGCCGCAUGGCACCCCCUGAAAACUCCGGUGGUACAGGAUGGGCCCGCGUCUGAUUAGCUGGUUGGCAGGGUAACGGCCUACCAAGGCGACGAUCAGUAGCCGGCCUGAGAGGGCGGACGGCCANACUGGGACUGAGACACGGCCCAGACUCCUACGGGAGGCAGCAG
rnacentral:rRNA from 1 species